rnacentral:rRNA from 1 species
GACGAACGCUGGCGGCGUGCUUAACACAUGCAAGUCGAACGGAAAGGCCCUGCUUUUGUGGGGUGCUCGAGUGGCGAACGGGUGAGUAACACGUGAGUAACCUGCCCUUGACUUUGGGAUAACUUCAGGAAACUGGGGCUAAUACCGGAUAGGAGCUCCUGCUGCAUGGUGGGGGUUGGAAAGUUUCGGCGGUUGGGGAUGGACUCGCGGCUUAUCAGCUUGUUGGUGGGGUAGUGGCUUACCAAGGCUUUGACGGGUAGCCGGCCUGAGAGGGUGACCGGCGACAUGGGGACUGAGAUACGGCCCAGACGCCUACGGGAGGCAGCAGUGGGGAAUAUUGCACAAUGGGCGGAAGCCUGAUGCAGCAACGCCGCGUGCGGGAUGACGGCCUUCGGGUUGUAAACCGCUGUCGCCUGUGACGAAGCGUGAGUGACGGUAAUGGGUAAAGAAGCACCGGCUAACUACGUG